CCUACGGGGAGGCAGCAGUGGGGUAAUUUUGGACAAUGGGCGCAAGCCUGAUCCAGCAAUGCCGCGUGAGUGAAGAAGGCCUUCGGGUUGUAAAGCUCUUUUGUCAGGGAAGAAACGGUCUACUCUAAUACAGUGGGCUAAUGACGGUACCUGAAGAAUAAGCACCGGCUAACUACGUGCCAGCAGCCGCGGUAAUACGUAGGGUGCAAGCGUUAAUCGGAAUUACUGGGCGUAAAGCGUGCGCAGGCGGUUAUAUAAGUCAGAUGUGAAAUCCCCGGGCUCAACCUGGGAACUGCAUUUGAGACUGUAUGGCUAGAGUGUGUCAGAGGGGGGUAGAAUUCCACGUGUAGCAGUGAAAUGCGUAGAUAUGUGGAGGAAUACCGAUGGCGAAGGCAGCCCCCUGGGAUAACACUGACGCUCAUGCACGAAAGCGUGGGGAGCAAACAGGAUUAGAUACCCUGGUACGUCCACGCCCUAAACGAUGUCUACUAGUUGUCGGGACUUAAUUGUCUUGGUAACGNAGCUAACGCGUGAAGUAGACCGCCUGGGGAGUACGGGUCGCAAGAUUAAAACNCGAAAGGAUUGACGGU
rnacentral:rRNA from 1 species